rnacentral:rRNA from 1 species
AUGGAUUCGGAUGGUUCGUCGGACGAGGAUUAUGGACCCACAGAGCUUGAUGAAAUAAUUCAAAAGGAGUUCUUUGAUUUGUCGGAUUCAUACGAAGAAGCGGAGAUGAUCAUGAUCAUGAGCAUCCAACAGGAAAUGGAUCGAGAGGUGGAGCACGUUCUCAACAAGGGCUCGGUCAAAGGGAGAAGAGUUCUGAAGCGGGAUAGGGUCUCUGGAGCACGGGUCCUCUACAAGGACUACUUUUCUCCUGAACCUGCUUUCCUUGAUGAAUGGUUUCAUAAACUCUUUCGUAUGCGCAAACCAUUGUUCUUGUGUGUAGUGGAGGGAGUGGAGGCAUAG